GCCUGGGGCUCCUGAGGGUGUGAGCAUUGUACCCAGUUGAGCUAUUAAAUGACCUGCAUUUCUCAAAAGAACGUGAAAGGGGCUAAACAAAAUGUUACAAACAUUCUCAGUGCAAACAUCCUCUCCUUCUCCUCUGCCUUGGAGAACUGCAGGAAGAUAGUGAAUUCAUCUGUGCCCCCUCUAUCUUCAUCAUAGAAACAGAAUUUUUAUGGGAGCCGUUGGAUGGAAGAUGGAAUGAAUGAAAUGGUUCAUGAGAAGGGGUUUUAGGUACCAAUAUUGAUAGAGAGAUAUUGAUUUCAAGAAGUUCUCCUGGCUGGUUUAAGGACGCACAAGUGUUAACAUCUUUUCCCUGGGGGACUGGAUCUGAGGCCUUCUGAAGUCAACGGGCACUCUACCUUGAGGGCACUCUACCACUCUACCACAGCUCAUUUUCUCUCCUUCACCACAUCACCUGUAUCUUCUGCAGUUGAUUACACAUUCAUUUGUCAGACAAGCUUAACCACACUGGCUGAACCUUGCCUUUCCUAAGAUAGCCAUGUAAUUCCAUGAAAUUAUUUUCUGAACAGUGUUUCACUUUCAAAAGUCACAACCUUUAGCAGUUUACAGCCCUAUACUGCUGUGCCAAAGGACACAACAGUCCCCUUCAUGCAGUCAGCAGGUUCUGAAUGCAAAGAUAUUCUUUCUCUCUGGUUUCACAUAAACUCUGGUAAUACAGAUGCUUUAGUUCUUCCUUCAUCAUCUGAGACCUCUUGACUCCAGUACUGAAGCAUGCCCCAGGUCUCACUCACUAUCUGCUGCAGUGAAACACACAUAUACAGAGGCCAGAGCAACUUUGUUCUGGAGGUAGAGGUCAUCCCAGACAGUGUUUGGCUUAUGGACAGCUGUGCUUUGUGGAGAACCUGACAAUGUAAGGCUUCUUUAUGGUCAGGAUGCUGCUGGAGUGAAACCCAAGCUUAGGUUCUAUUGAAGUCACAAGUUCAAGUGUGCUUGUUAAUAUAGAUAAAUUUUUGUAUAUGCUUAAGGAGCAUAAGGAGCUGAGCCAAAGAACAUCAUUCCCCUUUUUUUCCUCUAAUAAAUAAGUUUAUUUUCUCCUGUCCA